rnacentral:rRNA from 1 species
AAUUUAUAAAAUAAAUUAUUUAAAGAGCUUGUAAAGAAUCCCUUGGUAUCCAGAAGCGAAGAAGGACGUGGUUACCGGCGAAACAGAUCGGGGAGUUGGUCUCAAAUAUUGAUCCGAAAAUAUCCGAAUAACUUUAUACAGAAUCUAUAAGUAAAUAAAGAGCAAACUUAGGGAACUGAAACAUCUUAAUACCUAAAGGAAAAGAAAGUAAAAACGAUUUUCAAAAUAGCGGCGAGCGAAAUGAAAACAGCCUAAACAUUUACAUUAAAUGAGUUGAGGGAUAUAUUGUUAUAUAUAUAUAAAUAUAAAUUAGAUUAACUAAUUGGAAAAUUAUACUAUAAGGAGUAAUAGUCUCAUAAUCAACAAUUUAUUUUUAAAUAUUAUAAUCCCAAGUAGCUUGGGACACGUGGAAUCCCUUGUGAAUCUACGAGGACCAACUCGUAAGGCUAAAUAUUACUGGAUGUCCGAUAGUGAAUAGUACCGUGAGGAAAAGGUGAAAAGAACCCUGUGAAAGGGAGUGAAAUAGAACGUGAAAUUGCAAGCUUACAAACAGAAGGAGAACGACUGAGUGUUUAACUUCGUGCCUGUUGAAGAAUGUUCCGACGACUUAUAGAUAGUGGCUGAUUAAGAUAGCGAUAUCAUAGUCAUAGUGAAAGCGAGCUUGAAGAAAGCGUUAGUCACUAUUUAUAGACCCGAACCCGCUUGAUCUAACCAUGACCAGGAUGAAAUUUUAUUAUAUUUUAAUGGAGGUCCGAACCGACUAAUGUUGAAAAAUUAGCGGAUGAGUUGUGGUUAGUGGUGAAAUGCCAAUCGAAAGCGGAGCUAGCUGGUUCUCCAUGAAAUGUAUUUAGGUGCAGCGUUUAGUGUUAUAAUAUAGGGGUAAAGCACUGUUUUGUUAUAGGGGCUAAUUCUAUUGGUACUAAAGCGAGGCAAACUCUGAAUACUAUAUGUAUAACUAAACAGUAAGACUAUGAGGGAUAAGCUUCAUAGUCAAGAGGGAAACAGCCCAGAUCACCAGAUAAGGCCCCAAAAUAAUUACUAAGUGAUAAAGGUAGUGGAAAGGCUUAAACAAUCAGGAGGUUUGCUUAGAAGCAGCAAUCCUUUAAAAAGUGCGUAAUAGCUUACUGAUUUAGCCAUUCUGCGCCGAAAAUUUAUGGGACUAAGUAAUUUGCCGAAGCUGUGAGAUAUAGUAAUAUUAUAUCGGUAAUGGAGCGUUCCAUAUUAGAUUGAAGUAUUAACGAAAGUGAAUAUUGACGAAAUGGAAGUGAGAAUGUCGGAUUGAGUAGCGAAAACAUUGGUGAGAAUCCAAUGCUCCGAAACCCCAAGGUUUCCUCUGGAAGGUUCGUCCACAGAGGGUUAGUCAGGGCCUAAGAUGAGGCUGAAAAGUAUAAUCGAUGGAUAAUAGGUUAAUAUUCCUAUACUAAUUAUUACUAGUAUCGAGGGACGAAGAAGGCUAAACUGGCCUCUAUUAUGGUUAAAGGUUUAAGUAUUCAAAGCAUAGAGAAUUGGAGAAAACAAUUUAAGCUAAGAUAUAAAUACAAAACUAAAAAAGUUAAAGUAGUUAAUGUCAUGCUUCCAAGAAAAACUCGCAAUGCUAUAAGUAAUAAUGACCUGUACCUUAAACCGACACAGGUGGGGCGGUAGAGAAUACCAAGGAGCGCGAGAUAACCCUCUUUAAGGAACUCGGCAAAAUAACUCUGUAACUUCGGAAGAAAGAGUGCCUUUUUUAUGGCUGCAAUAUCAAGUUCCAAGCAACUGUUUAUCAAAAACACAGGUCUCCGCUAAGUUGUAAAACGACGUAUGGGGGCUGACGCCUGCCCAAUGUCAAAAGGUUAAUAAUUCUGGUUAGUAUUUAGUCAAAUAAUGGCAAAGCUAGAAUAGUAAGCCCUGAUGAAUGGCGGCCGUAAAUAUAACGGUCCUAAGGUAGCGAAAUUCCUUGUCGGGUAAGUUCCGACCCGCACGAAUGGCGUAAUGAUUUGGAAGCUGUCUCGAAGAGGGAUUCGGCGAAAUAGAAAUGUCUGUGAAGAUGCGGACUUCCUGCGCCUGGACAGUAAGACCCUAUGAAGCUUUACUGGAUUAUGAAAUUGUAUAUUAAUUUUAUUUGCAGAGAAUAAGUGGGAGAUUAAGAAGAUAUGUUUUUGGAUAUAUUGGAGUCAUCAGUGUAAUACCACUCAAAUAAAAUUGGUAUACUACACUUUAUAACGUAAGCAGUUUAAAGGACAGUUUAAUAAGGACAGUUUGACUGGGGCGGUCGCCUCCUAAAAAGUAACGGAGGCGUACAAAGGUUUUUUCAGAUCAGAUGGAAAUUGAUUGGUGAGUGUAAAGGCAAAAAAAAACUUAACUGUAAGACCUACAAGUCAAACAGAGAUGAAAGUCGGUCUUAGUGAUCUGACGUUACUGUGUGGAAGGGACGUUACUUAACGGAUAAAAGUUACUCUAGGGAUAACAGGCUUAUCUCUCCUGAUAGACCAUAUUGGCGGGGAGGUUUGGCACCUCGAUGUCGGCUCAUCGCAUCCUGGAGAAGUAGGCGAUUCCAAGGGUUAGGCUGUUCGCCUAUCAAAGCGGUACGUGAGCUGGGUUCAGAACGUCGUAAGACAGUUCGGUCCAUAUCCGGCGUGGGCGUUAGAAUAUUGAGAGUGACUUUUCUUUAGUACGAGAGGAUCGAGAAAAAUAUACCUCUUGUGUACCAGUUAUCGUACCAACGGUAAACGCUGGGUAGCUAUGUAUAGUUAGGAUAAUCACUGAAAGCAUAUAAGUGAGAAGCCGUCCUCAAGAUAAAUAUUUUUAGGUUAUUGACAAGACGAGUCGAAUUAUAUUGGAUAUUCGGUAUAAGUGUAGUGAUAGAUUUAGCCAAGAUAUACCAAAUAACUAUAAGAUUUAUUUUA